GUUCGCGUAACUCAGUGGAUUAGAGUGUGAGAUUGCAACUUGGAAAGAAAUCUUGAAGUCGCGUGUUCGAAUCACGCCGCGGACU